GUAUGAUGUCAUAAGCCUGCGCCGCGCUGUCUGUGAUUCGGCUGAGGAAAGAGUGUUCAAACAAAGAGGAGAGUGAAGGCAUGAAGAUUGAAGAAGUAUUCAGUGUGAAACAAGAAGAUACAGAGGAACAAACAAAGAUGACUUUUAUUAAAGAGGAGAGUGAAGCUGUGAAGAUUGAAGAAACAUUUGGAGUGGAAGAAGAAGAUACUGAGGAACAAACAACGAUGGCAUUUAUUAAAGAGGAGAGUGAAGACCUGAAGAUUGAAGAGGUAUUCAGUCUGAAACAUGAAGAUACUGAGGAACAAACAAAGAUGGCAUUUAUGAAAGAAGAGAGUGAAGAAGACACGAAGAUUGAAGAAACAUUUAGUGUAAAACAAGAAGACACUGAGGAACAAACAAAGAUGAUAUUAAUGGGCUCGGUCCACAAGAUGGCGCCUGUAAACUUAUGGGAUGGAAGUGUGUGCAUACUUAGUUCCAGUUGUAAUAACACUGUGAGGGAAGAGGAGAAAAAAACAAAUAUGAGCGAGUUUAAAGUAAAAAAUAAACUAACCUAUCAGCGACAGGAGAGAAGAUCAUCACUACAUUGCUGCGUACCUCAAUGCGCUAAUUCAUCUCGUUACAACGGCAAGAUAAGCUUUCAUUUGUUCCCGAUUGACUCUGAAGUUCGGGCUCAGUGGUUGGCCAAAAUUCGCAGGGACCACUUCAGUCCUACAAGAAACACUAGAGUGUGUAGUGUACAUUUCCAACGUGAUGAUUUUAUUUUGACUACUAAGGGACUAAGAAAACUUAAAAAGGGAACUGUCCCUUCUAUUUUUGCAUGGAAUCACGAUCAUAGACAGUGAAUGUUUGGGAGAUUCUUUUUCAAGGAAAGUCUGUUCACUCGGCAUCCAUAUUUGCAACGCCUCCAGGCAGCUAUUUGGGGCAUCCAAGACCAAGCCUUAUAUAUUUGAAUAGGGGAAUCCUGAAAUCUCAAACUGCUUGGUGAACUCUCAAUUGAACAGCAUAUUUCAAAUCAGCAACAACAUCUGACAUGAACUGUCCCAUGAAUGUUGUUUCUUAUGCUUAAAUAGCAAUGAAAAAGCCUUCAGGCUAGAUGAGCCAAUGCGCACGUGCAGUCCUAAGUGGGAGUCUCAGGUUUCUCUGGGAACCGGAGCUUCUAACGGCAGCUGCAGUGAUGCAACGACUUUACCAAUCAGCGAUUGGCGUUGGUCUUUCUAUAUCUAUAGUCUUUGGUGAAACUCAAAAAUGGCACCUGCUCAUGACUACUGUCAAUCCAGCAACAUCAGCAAUGGCAAGUAAACUGACCAUAAGUUAUGAGGAAUUGAAGAAUAAAGUGGAGGAAGUAACAACAUCAGCUAACAACUGUGCAGUUGCAGUCCCGUUUUGGGUCGCAAUGCAUCGCUGGAGAUGACAAGAAUAUUCGUUUUUACACCAGGUUUGCCUCAUACAAGCAUUUCUUGGCUUUUUGGCAACUGGUGGAGCCUGCUGCGAAAAAUAAGAUGAUGCAGAUCACCAGGACAAAGACCUGCCAGCUUUGAGGAACUGACCCAACCAAAAGCAAUGGUAUGGAAGUAAAUGGUGGUAAAAUAGUGGGUAAAGGCCUGUUCACACCAAGAAAGAUAACUAUAUUUGCGCCCAUACCAACGAACAAUAACGGUAUGUUUAUUCGAAACUCAUGCGCUUGCAGUUUCAAAAUGUUUUUGCUGUUCUUGUUGCAUUUACACAGCUUUAACCAGCAGAUGUCCUCAGCAUGCUAUGUUUGAGUGAAUAGCUAGUGUAACCAAUAUAGUUUAACAGUGAAUUUAGCUGACAAAGUCAAUAUAGUGGACUAAAAACAACGCCUAGUCUUUCUCACUGCAACCUCGAAGGAAGCAAGACGAUGUUGUCGAAACUAGAUACCUGAGGUAAUUAUAUGUUACACUGUUUGUUUUCCAUAUAUAUUCAUUCUCUUUAAAGUAUCCUUGAAAAGGGGGUUUGACUUGUCAAACAGUGGUGGCUUUUUCUGGACCUCUGCGAUUCUCAGCCGGUUUAAAUGCGCAAGCCCUUAAAUUAUAAUGGAUUCUGAUUGGCUGUCAGUGUUUUAUCGUUCAACCGCUGGAAAAAAAUAGUUCUGAAAGUGAUCCCAACGAUAUCGUUUCUCUAUAUCAUUAUUGUUGUAGCCAUGGUGUGAACAGUGCCAUCCUUUUAUAUUUAGAACGAUUUAUAUAAUAUCUUUAUCGUUAUUGUUUUUAGUGUGAUAUGUUCUUAACAUUUUACAAAGAAAGUUACAUAUGUCAUUAUUAGUUACUGCAACAUGGAAUAAAUAAACAACCAUCAAAACUGGUCAGUUCAGUACCUCAGUUGUGACAUAUCAGACACAUAUUGCCAAUUGCUCUGAUUGUGCUUCAUCUGCCAUAAUGGCGUACAUCUUUGAUUCUGACAUUUCUGACUAUUGUUGCAGUCACUUUUUGUGAACAGCAAGUGAUCAUCUCAUUUUGACUUUGACUAAGUAGUGUUUGAUGAGGGUUUGUACCUCUGCAAAAAUGGAUCAAACUGGGUCAAUAAAGACAUAAACUUUAGGAAGUUACCCUUAUUAUCGCUGUCCUUAAUUUCAUCGUGACCUCUAAACGGUAUCCCUUGUUUACCCAACAUGCAGGUCACAGCUACAGCCACACAUACUCCCUUUGACGUAUCUCCUCUACAUUUUCUGCUUCUAUCAGACAGAUGGAGUACAAUCAAAGAGUAUUGAACUACCGUCUCUCUAUGGCACGACGAGAAUGCAUUUUUCAGGUCGACAAUAUGCUUGGAGCCAGACAAGGUGGUGAAGAUAACAAUGGCAUUCCCUGUGCAUCCACAGCUUGCUCUAAAGAGCGCAGGUCCGAGGCAUAUACACCCAGCCUUUGCAGAUUGAGAGAACACUGACCGCAACAUGGUUGAUUGAGUCUGGAAGAAUCAUGGGAUGGGGGCUUUUCAGCCGAUGGAGCAUAGAAGAGAGUGCAAUAAUUUAACAGUAACAGCAAAAAUGAUAUGAAAUAUUCUGUGGGACUAUUUUGUUUCACCAGCAGGUUGCAUUUCUUGGCAGGAGCAACACAUUUAGAAAAGUACAGAUGUCAAGAUAUUACAUUUUUUUGUGUAGCAUUUUUUGUGUUUUGUCUGUAAAUACAUCCUUUUUGUUGUGUGUAUUGCAUUGCCUUUUGAUGUUGAAAGUUCUAUAUCAAUAAAGAUGUGGUUCAGUUAU